rnacentral:rRNA from 1 species
GAUGAACGCUGGCGGCGUGCUUAACACAUGCAAGUCGAACGGAGUUAUUUGAAAGCUUGCUUUUGAAUAACUUAGUGGCGGACGGGUGAGUAACGCGUGGGUGACCUGCCUUAUACUGGGGGAUAACACUUAGAAAUAGGUGCUAAUACCGCAUAAGCGCACAGUUCUGCAUGGAACAGUGUGAAAAACUCCGGUGGUAUAAGAUGGACCCGCGUCUGAUUAGCUGGUUGGUGAGGUAACGGCUCACCAAGGCGACGAUCAGUAGCCGGCCUGAGAGGGUGAACGGCCACAUUGGGACUGAGACACGGCCCAAACUCCUACGGGAGGCAGCAGUGGGGAAUAUUGCACAAUGGGGGAAACCCUGAUGCAGCGACGCCGCGUGAGUGAAGAAGUAUUUCGGUAUGUAAAGCUCUAUCAGCAGGGAAGAAAAUGACGGUACCUGACUAAGAAGCCCCGGCUAACUACGUG